AAGUCGUAACAAGGUCUCCGUUGGUGAACCAGCGGAGGGAUCAUUACCGAGUUAUUACUCCAAACCCAUUGUGAACCUUACCAAUUACCGCUGUUGCCUCGGCGGACGGCUGGGAGGGUUGCCCCUAGCGGGCGCCCGACCGACCCCCGCCGGCAGCACCAAACUCUUGAAUUUAUAGCGAAUCUACUUCUGAAUAACAAAUACAAACAAAUCAAAACUUUCAACAACGGAUCUCUUGGUUCUG
rnacentral:misc_RNA from 1 species